GAUGAACGCUGGCGGCGUGCCUAAUACAUGCAAGUCGAGCGAAUGGAUUAAGAGCUUGCUCUUAUGAAGUUAGCGGCGGACGGGUGAGUAACACGUGGGUAACCUGCCCAUAAGACUGGGAUAACUCCGGGAAACCGGGGCUAAUACCGGAUAACAUUUUGAACCGCAUGGUUCGAAAUUGAAAGGCGGCUUCGGCUGUCACUUAUGGAUGGACCCGCGUCGCAUUAGCUAGUUGGUGAGGUAACGGCUCACCAAGGCAACGAUGCGUAGCCGACCUGAGAGCGUGAUCGGCCACACUGGGACUGAGACACGGCCCAGACUCCUACGGGAGGCAGCAGUAGGGAAUCAUCCGCAAUGGACGAAAGUCUGACGGAGCAACGCCGCGUGAGUGAUGAAGGCUUUCGGGUCGUAAAACUCUGUUGUUAGGGAAGAACAAGUGCUAGUUGAAUAAGCUGGCACCUUGACGGUACCUAACCAGAAAGCCACGGCUAACUACGUGCCAGCCGCCGCGGUAA
rnacentral:rRNA from 1 species